rnacentral:rRNA from 1 species
CCCGGCACAAGCGGUGGAGCAUGUGGUUUAAUUCGAAACAACGCGAAGAACCUUACCAGGCCUUAACAUGCAGAGAACUUUCCAGAGAUGGAUUGGUGCCUUCGGGAACUCUGACACAGGUGCUGCAUGGCUGUCGUCAGCUCGUGUCGUGAGAUGUUGGGUUAAGUCCCGUAACGAGCGCAACCCUUGUCCUUAGUUACCAGCACGUUAAGGUGGGCACUCUAAGGAGACUGCCGGUGACAAACCGGAGGAAGGUGGGAUGACGUCAAAUCAUCAUGCCCCUUAUGACCUGGGCUACACACGUGCUACAAUGGUUGGUACAACGAGUUGCGAGUCGGUGACGGCGAGCUAAUCUCUUAAAGCCAAUCUCAGUUCGGAUUGUAGGCUGCAACUCGCCUACAUGAAGUCGGAAUCGCUAGUAAUCGCGGAUCAGCACGCCGCGGUGAAUACGUUCCCGGGCCUU